rnacentral:rRNA from 1 species
UACGUAGGGGGCAAGCGUUGUUCGGAUUUACUGGGCGUAAAGGGCGCGUAGGCGGCCACCGCAAGUCAAUUGUGAAAUCUCCGGGCUUAACUCGGAACGGUCAACUGAUACUGCGGGGCUAGAGUGCGGAAGGGGCAACUGGAAUUCUCGGUGUAGCGGUGAAAUGCGUAGAUAUCGAGAGGAACACCUGCGGCGAAGGCGGGUUGCUGGGCCGACACUGACGCUGAUGCGCGAAAGCCAGGGGAGCGAACGGG